AUUCUAACCUAAAAGACCAAACAAACCAGCAAAUUGAUGGUUCUCAGCUACCUGUAAAUAUGAUGCAACCACAGGUAGCCGCUCCUCCCACUGUCACUCAGGGAUUGCCACCACUACCGCCACUGCCACGACCACCACCCUCCCAGCAAGUCAACUACAUAGCUGCACAGCCAGAUGGAAAGCAACUGCAGGGUAUUCCUAAUGCUUCUCAUGUAAGUAAUAACAUGAGUACACCAGUCUUGUCUGCUCCGACAGCAGCCCCAGGAAAUACAGGAACAGUUCAGGGACCAAAUUCUGGUAACACUUCGUCAUCGAGUCACAGCAAAGCCUCUAAUGCUGCUGUAAAAUUGGCAGAAAGCAAAAAAUUACAAAUUCAAGAAAAAGCAGCACAGGAGGUAAAACUGGCGAUUAAGCCAUUUUACCAAAACAAAGAUAUCACCAAGGAAAAAUAUAAGGAGAUUGUAUGGAAAGCAGUAGAUAAAGUUUGUCAUAGUAAGAGUGGAGAAGUAAAUUCUACUAAAGUGACUAAUCUGGUUAAAGCCUAUGUAGACAAAUACAAAUACUCAUGGAAGGGGAGCCAAAAGAAAACUGUGGAGGAGCCUGUGUCUGCUGAAAACAACAUAGGCUGAGAUGAGGAAUGCUAUAAAGGACAUCAUCAAGAUACCUGCGAAGUGCAAUUUCAACAUGUACCAUCAGGAGAAAAUCAUGCAUAACUGUGACUGAAAUCGGUUUUGAUAAAAUUAUUUUUUUUAAUGUAGGAUAGGCUGUUUUGUUCUAAAUAAAUAUAAUUCUGCACUGCAACUUCCAUAUCCACACCCUCACCUCAAAUAAAUAAAUUCAAGAGAAAGUAAAAGGUUUAAAGGAAUGUGCAUUUUUUACUAGAACUGUGUACUCAUGUGGAUUCUGGAAGGUGUUGUACAGCUUUUUGAUUUGACUGUAGGGUUAUAACAAUGGGGUGCAUAAAUUAGAAACUUCUACGUGCACUGGCUUUGGAAGAGAUAUAUGUAUAAUACUUUUAUUCUGUCAGACUAAAAAAAGUAUGAACUCUGACUUUCUUCCUCUAAUUAUAGAAAGUUAAAUAAUGUAUUACCAUGAAAAAUAUUUCUAAUAAAUAGAACAUACCCAAUUGCAGGGUUCCUAAUGUGUAUUUUUAAAGCACAUAUCUGCUUAGAUAGAAAAUAAAUUAUCACUUGAAUAAAAUUUAGUGUUCAAAACUUUGAGAACUCUUCACCUAUGUGUCACCAAAUAAAGGUUAUGCUGCUGUUUUUCUUUUGUGCCUUUUUUUCCCCCAGUUGAGAUUAAGCAGUUUGAUUUGCUAGAUUAUGACUUAGGCAGUUCAAAGUCAUUGAAUUUAGAAGACCAAUUUGAAAACGUGUUGACUUUGUAAAAAUUAUGUUCUUGCAUCAUAUCUUUUAUGAAAUGAUAAAUUAUUUGUGCCAAGUGGACAGAUGUUUAGUGGGAACCCUCCCUUCCUUGGGACUAAGGUAGAAAUUCCAAGACUGACUCACUGGCUUCAGAUUGUUGCUCAUCUUAUCUAGUCACUUGUGAAAUCUUUCCACAUGUGAAAAAUCCCCAAAUGCUUUACAGCACAUGUAGUGUUAAUUUGAUGACCAUAUCAUAGCCAUUGGUCAUGUUUAAAAUUCUAGAUAUUAAAACCUGUGCUUGACAAAGGGAGAGGAGAAUUAAGUAGUGGAGUUUUUUUGUUUGUUUGUUUUGUUUUUGUUUUGGUACUGGGGAUCAAACUCGGGUCCUUUCCUUGCAAGGCCAGGCAGCAGAACCACUCAGCUAAAUCCCUGGUCCCAAGUAGUGGAGUUUUGAUUAGGCUUCCAAGGACUAGGGAUUCGGUUACUUUUUGAAAGUACAUUUACAAUCUGUUAAUUUUUAUAAAAGGUAAGUUUAAAAUGUUUAUAGCACCUUUACUUGGCAUCUAGAAAGACAAAUGAGUUCUUUCCAUGAUAAGCUAUCUUUCAUUCCAGUAGUGAUUUUCACUAGAUACCAAAUAACUGGAAUGGUAUUAAGAUAACAUGUUAACAGAUCCAAGGUAAAUCAGCACGACUUGGUGAUACAGAUCCUUUUACUCACUACUAGUGAGAGCAAUAAUUGGUGGAACUGCUUUUAUAAAGUUAGAGAUUAUCCCUUUCUCAGUUUUUUGUGCAUAAUACUUUCCUGGUGCUAGGUUUGAUAGACAAAAUAUUUUGAAAUGUUGGACCCCAUGGUGAUUGUGCUUUGUUAAUAAGCUUUGUUAGGUUAGGAUUGGGAUCCUACAAAAUUUUCAAGCAGUUUUUAAUCUUCAUUCUACAUUUCUGGGUGUUUGUAAUAUGGUAUUUUACUUAAAAUAUAUAUAUAUUUUUAAUUAAAGUUUGUGUUCGGAUUAUGGGGAAAGAGGUUUAGAAGUAUGUUUGUUCUAAUGAAGUAUUGAGACAGUUUUAAAUAUCAGUGCACACCUCCGGAGUUGUUUCAGUUUCGAAUUCCAUAAACUGGUGUGAACUUGCAGUCUAUUUUGAAUUAAAGCUGGUUCACGCUUUGAAAUUUUGUGGCAAAUUGCUGUGCCUGAGCUGAUAAAUCACACAAUUCAUGCUUUUCCUGCAUUUUAAGUGACAUUUGGGAAUUGAGUGACUUAAAAAUGUAUUACCAUUCAGCUUUUGCAACAAGGUUUUAAAGUUUUGAAUAAAAGCUAGGUGAUGUGGUGAAGAGUUAAAAGCCCCGUAAAUUAUUUUCAUCAUUCUCAAAAAUAACAAGUAUGUUUGCCAUAUCUGAUUGGUGUACUGGUUGGACUGUAUUUAAAAUUGUUAAUGAAGAAUGUUGCUGGGUUAGAAUUUAAAUUUUUAAACUCUGAACUGUGUAAGAAUGAAUUAGAAAAUGCAUGCUUUACGUUUUUAAAUACAUGGCUUUAACAUUGCCCAUUCCCCC
rnacentral:lncRNA from 1 species